UCGAGCGGACAGAUGGGAGCUUGCUCCCUGAUGUUAGCGGCGGACGGGUGAGUAACACGUGGGUAACCUGCCUGUAAGACUGGGAUAACUCCGGGAAACCGGGGCUAAUACCGGAUGGUUGUCUGAACCGCAUGGUUCAGACAUAAAAGGUGGCUUCGGCUACCACUUACAGAUGGACCCGCGGCGCAUUAGCUAGUUGGUGAGGUAACGGCUCACCAAGGCGACGAUGCGUAGCCGACCUGAGAGGGUGAUCGGCCACACUGGGACUGAGACACGGCCCAGACUCCUACGGGAGGCAGCAGUAGGGAAUCUUCCGCAAUGGACGAAAGUCUGACGGAGCAACGCCGCGUGAGUGAUGAAGGUUUUCGGAUCGUAAAGCUCUGUUGUUAGGGAAGAACAAGUGCCGUUCAAAUAGGGCGGCACCUUGACGGUACCUAACCAGAAAGCCACGGCUAACUACGUGCCAGCAGCCGCGGUAAUACGUAGGUGGCAAGCGUUGUCCGGAAUUAUUGGGCGUAAAGGGCUCGCAGGCGGUUUCUUAAGUCUGAUGUGAAAGCCCCCGGCUCAACCGGGGAGGGUCAUUGGAAACUGGGGAACUUGAGUGCAGAAGAGGAGAGUGGAAUUCCACGUGUAGCGGUGAAAUGCGUAGAGAU
rnacentral:rRNA from 1 species